AUAUUCGCAAUGCUUAGGAGGGUGAGAAAGGGAGAGAGCGAGCCACCAGUUAUGUGAGGUCUUGUGUGGAGUGGCCAUUGGCCGCUUCCCUGAUGGGGCCUGGGGUAGCAGGUGGGAGAUUAGAAACGUAACUAAGCUGAGGACAGAUUUACAGAGGUUGAGCUGGGAAUGAAGGCUUCAAGGCUGGUGUCCAGUUGGAAUCACUCUGCUGGUUCACUUCUUAGGAACAUGAAACAAGGAACAGAAUUUAUCAGAGUCCCGCUAAAACUUCUGAGCUGGAGCCAGACAGGGUCAGGGUUUUAUUUGACACACCAAGCAAAAUGAUGCCAACAUGCCGGUCUGUGGUCAAAGAGCAUCACCAACACCACCACCAUCACCAUCAUCACCAUCGUCACCAUCACCACCAUCACCAUCGUCACCAUCAUCACCAUCAGCAGCUGGAUGGGAAGCAGGGCAGAGAAUGUACAGAACGGGUGGUAAAAAUCACCCUAUUGCCUCCUUCCCUACAUGGAGUGGGUUUCAAACUUAUCCCAGCUCAGGACAUCUGUUCUUUCUGUCUGUCUUCUUCGGUCACAUUUCCUGUGACUUCUGAUAAGCCAGUUCCACCCUGAAUAAAAGGCCCCUUUGAAGGAGUAAGGUGUGGCUGAUCAGACCAUCUUAUGAACUGCCUUCAUUAAUUUUCUUCAAACUGCUUCUCUGAAACAAGCCUUCCAUAUCUGCUUGCUUGCUUCUGAUUAUUGCUCUCCUCCAUCCCAGAUAUUGCCCUUUCUGACAUGUGGUUGACUGGAUUCCUAGUCUCCAGAGAAGGCUCUGGCACAGUCAAGGACCCCAAACAACAUUCUGGGGCAGUAGGAAGAACUUUCCGGUACCUGAUAAUUCCCAGCUUCCUUCUGUCUCGGCAUUGUAGUAGUAUCUGAUGACAAAUGUUCCAGAAGGAAAAAUACUGGAGACGGGGGAAACAUGACAGAGUAUGAAGCAUGAUAGGAUUAUUCAGUCAGCUUCAUAAACAGAUUCAUAAAUUGUACUACCAACUGUUUUGUAGCACUGAGAAUAGCACAGUUUUUCCACCAGAUAGAAACUCAAAAACACUGACUGGGACACAAAGUUUCAACUUGUGGAGAGCCUGUGAUAUCUGGAUGAUCUCCGAUGCUCUCGGCUCCCGUCUUCUCUUCAGCAAACAUCCUAGUCACAUGAGACACCCCCUGCGACAAGACUAGGGAUCUAUCCCUAGCGGACUCCCAUGCUUUCAGUUAAAAGCUCUGUCCCAUUAUUCUGUGCGGGACAAACAGAAACCCACCCACCGUGUUCAUGAACAACGGACUGUAAAUCCUAAUCCAGAUGCAUUCUUUUGACUCAGUCACCUUUCUACACCAUGGAAGCCUCAAGAAUCCUUUGAAAUGAUGUACAUUUAGACAAUGAAUUUUGAUCAAACUGCAUAUUCUUACCCCCUCCCACCCACCCUCAUGCCCCCCACUGUAUCUCCUUCCCAAACAUCAUGUCUUCCAUUUUUUGGAUUAAUUUCUUAAUAACUCCCUGAAUUCAAUUAGCACUGCCCUUGGGCACAUAGAUGUGAGGCAAGUACACUGGAAUAUGGAAAUCCACCAGCAGCCACAUCCUGGAAGGGAGCUGCACAUUUGUCUGUAAUCUUGUAUCAACUGGUUUAUCUCACUGACACAUCGGGUGGGGCAAGGGGUGCAGGAUACUUGGCUAAGACAUGCCUGAGUAAGGCAUGGUAAUACAAGGGUACAGGAUGUCCUGAGAAGUGACACGACAUGAGGAGAGGACAGAGGACAAAGGAAGAGUCUCCAAGACAACUGAUUCAUUCUGCAACUUUGUUCAGGGCUGGUGUGGUGCUGAUGCUGGUCUUUAGGGACUAUUGGUGCCUUCAGAUAAUGUUUAGUGAAGGCAAGCGGUUACCAGGUUAACCAGGACAAACCUCACCAUAGUCUUAUCUUGGGGUAAUUAAAAUAAAAAUGAACAUCAAUA